AUGCAUCAGAACAGCGAGCAACAUUCAAACACAUUUAGUUCACAAAGAGCAGACAUACCUGCCACAACAUCAAUCCCCCAGCAAUUUGUUUCCACUUCUCCAAUUCAGAGUCAAAGAAGUAGAAAUACAACCUUAAUCAUGACAACUCCACACAGUUACUCCUCAGUGGAAACAUGGAAGUCCAUAAGCGACUACUUUUUUGGUGCAAUUGUACCACAGUGGCGAUCUCUGCAGUUAAACCCAGAGUCCUGCAACACUAAGCUGCCUUCCACUUUGUUAAAGGACAUGUUGAAACUUUGCUCCAUGUUAGUGGAUGCAACAGAGACAACCAUGGAGAAGGGAGCUCCGGUGUCCACACAGACAGAGGAGUGUCUUCAGACAGUGGACGCUGAUUCCCAUGAGAAAACAGAGGUAACAGGAGCAAAGGAAAGCAUCGUAACAGAAAUAUCUGUAGACAACUGCGGUGAUAAUAAAAAAACAGAAACUCCAGAACUGGAGACAGAGGCCAGUGCAUGUCUUCAGCAUGAGGACACACAAUCCCAAACCACAGCCACAGCAGAACCAAGAAAGAGCUGUAUGAAGAAAAAGUCCACAGCUGAUACAAAAGACUUGGACAAAAUAGAACCUUGUCCCAUGAAAAAGCCUGCAAUGCCAGCUGCAUAUGAGUCAGACGUUGAUAACCGCAAGGAAACAGAGGCAAAAGGAGCAAAAGACAGCAUCCUGAAAGAAAUAUCUGUAGACAACUGCGGUGAUAAUAAAAUAACAGAAACUCCAGAACUGGAGACAGAGGCCGGCAAAUGUCUUCAGCAUGUGGACACACAAUCCCAAGCCACAGCAGAACCAAAGAAAAGCUGUAUGAAGAAAAAGCCCCCAGCUGAUACAAAAGACUGGGACAAAAUAGAAGCUUGUCCCGUGGAAAAGCCUGUGAUUCCAGCUGUACAUGAGUCAGAAGUUGAUUCUUCUUCUGUCAUCAGUCUGGCAUCUGAUGAUCUGUCUGCAGAAAAAAUGUAUGUUUAUGCAGUUAUUCAGUUGGUAGUUUCACGGGCCUUAAAGAAAGUCUCCUCUAAACACAAAGACUCCACAUGGAUUCUCACUCCUAAAUCCAACUGUCAUCGUCUGCUUGAGAAAAUCUGGCCUGAAAUUGAGGGAAAACAUUUGGAUCUAUCUCCAAAGAGGCUGACCAGUAUUGAGAAAGCCAUUUUCACCAAUCUUUGUAAAGCACAUAAGUGCAAGGAAAAACAUUUGAUUUCAAGUCUGAAGGAAGAGCUUGAGGACGAUAUUACUGUCCCAACAUUCACCAAACAUCUGCUGGCAUUACCCAAAAGAGUACUCACUUUAUCUAAAAACCGAGACGAGUACAGAGAACUUGUGGAAUGCUUUGCUAGAGAUCUGGUUAUGCACGCAAUGAGCAACAUAAAGGGGUUGAAGAAAUGGCGUCCAGCUGAAGAAGUUAUACAGAGGCUUACCGAAAAAUUCUGGGCUAAAAUUGUGUCCCAAAAUCUUGAAAUCUCCUUGGAGAACAUGGAAGAUCUCACUGUGAGAGUAUACAAUGAACUCCGGGAAAAGUGGAGAGGUGCUGACAAUGUCCUGGGGUUUAUGAAUAAUGGAAAUCCAAGACUUGACAAAAUGAUUGUCAGAAUUUUCAAAACAAAUUCAGUGGCAGCUAUGAAGAUGAGAAGAACCAGAACAACCACUGCAGAAGUGACAGAGAUCAUCAUGUCAGCUGGCCUUAUAAAAGAUGAGUAA
rnacentral:lncRNA from 1 species